rnacentral:rRNA from 1 species
GAUGAACGCUAGCUACAGGCUUAACACAUGCAAGUCGAGGGGCAGCAUGACGGAACCUUCGGGUUUUGUUGAUGGCGACCGGCGCAAGGGUGCGUAACGCGUGAGCAACUUGCCCGUUUCAGGGGGAUAACCGGUGGAAACGCCGACUAAUACCCCAUAGUAUCAUAUUUAGGCAUCUUUAUAUGAUUAAAGAAUUUCGGAAACGGAUAGGCUCGCGUGACAUUAGCUAGAUGGCGGGGUAACGGCCCACCAUGGCGACGAUGUCUAGGGGUUCUGAGAGGAAGGUCCCCCCACACUGGAACUGAGACACGGUCCAGACUCCUACGGGAGGCAGCAGUGAGGAAUAUUGGUCAAUGGCCGGGAGGCUGAACCAGCCAUGCCGCGUGAAGGUCACGGCCCUAUGGGUCUUAAACUUCUUUUGUAAGGGAGCAAUAAGGUUCACGUGUGGACUGAUGAGAGUACCUUACGAAUAAGCAUCGGCUAACUCCGUGCCAG